UAACUUCAUAAGUUACUUAAAAAGUUUAACAACGGAGAUCGGAUAACUAGUUAAUUGUUUUUAAGUUAUAGAUAAAACAUUUUUUAGCUAAAAAUUCUUACUGCAUUCUUGACUAACUUAUACUACUUCUUGACUUUCAUGUACCUGGCCAACUGGGUACAACUGCUCGUGACAAUAGAAAUGAAAUGGUGAAUGGUCUAAUCCAAAAAUGCAAGCUCACAACCUAUGUCUUCUGAAGCAAAAUCAUUUCUGUUGCAGUUGUAAAUCUUCAAGAUAUUGAUGCCUUCGCCAGAUCUAAUUCUUUGAUGCUAUCUAUUUUGCGACAACAGCAAGAAAAUGCUGCUACUCAUAAUUUUAUGGUUACCACUUACCACCAGUCACCACUUUGUUCUAAUUUAGGACAAGGUUUAUCUUGUAUGUUCGCGUAUUUGCUGUCCGCUGUGGUACGUUGUUUCAGCCUAUGCUGGUGAUAGAUCUUUCUGCAUCAAAUUCAAUUAGCCGUUCCUUAGUGCUGCUGUCGUGUUACCAAAGUUACAUAAUUAUUUAAUGUAGUUCACAGUUAAUAUGUUAAGAAGGAACAAAAAAGAAAUAUCCGGAUGCUUAAUUGUUUGUGUCCAACAAGUAAUAAACAUGUUUUCGGGAUUGGGAAAGGAAAGUGGAGGAUGUUGGAGGGAGGGGGUAAUUCAAGUUUGGAUAAAAAAGUUAAUUUAUAACCCUACAAACUUUUCCCUACCAAUUCUUCAAGCCCCACAAACAUACACCUUUUAAUCCUCAAAAUUAUACCCUAAACCACGUAAACCAAUGUUAAAGCCAAAAACAAUGUAAUGCAAAAUGAAUAAAAAAGUUAUAUUUCAA